rnacentral:rRNA from 1 species
GAUGAACGCUGGCGGCGUGCCUAAUACAUGCAAGUCGAACGCUGGAAAUCUAGCUUUCUAGGUUGCAGGAGUGGCGAACGGGUGAGUAAUACAUAAGCAACCUACCCACGAAGACUGGGAUAAUCUCUGGAAACGGGGACUAUUCCCGGAUAGGUAAUCGGAAGGCAUCUUCUGAUUAUUAAAGGUUAAAAACACUGGUGGAUGGGCUUAUGGCGCAUUAGUUAGUUGGUGAGGUAACGUCCCACCACGACGAUGAUGAGUAGCCGGACGGAGAGGGUGAACGGCGACAGUGGGACUGGGACAAGGCGCAGAGUCAUACGGGAGGCAGCAGUAGGGAAGUGACGGCAAUGGGAGAAACCCUGACGGGGCAACGCCGCGUGAGUGAUGACGGCCUUCGGGUUGUAAAGCUCUGUUGUAAGAGAAGAACGGUAGAUAGAGAAUAUCUAAAUGACGGUACCUGACCAGAAAGCAACGGCUAACUACGUG